CAUCCACACCAAAGCUGAUUACGAGUACCUCAGAAAUAUGAUUUUCAGACUGACUGGUGCACAUACAACCACUUGGCUUGGAGGCUACGAUGCAUCAGGCGAAGGUGUGUGGCUGAAUAGUGAUGGUUCACCAUUUACCUUCAAAGACUGGGGCACAGGGGAGCCCAACAACAGUGGUGGAAAAGAACACUGCAUGGAGAUUAACUUUGAAGGAAAGAGUGUUGUCAACGACAUCAGUUGCGAUCACAAGAGUUCUUUUCUCUGUGCCAGACAUGUAUAAUCACUCCACUCCAUGACACUUCACCAUGGUCACAUCCCC